AACCUCCGCAAUGUGAGAAAUCGCGACGGGGGGAUCCCAAGUGCCAUUCUUAACGGGAUGGCUUUUCAUUAGUGUAAAGAGCUUUUGGAAUAAGGGCUGGGCAAGACCGGUGCCAGCCGCCGCGGUAACACCGGCAGCUCUAGUGGUAGCAGUUUUUAUUGGGCCUAAAGCGUCCGUAGCCGGUUUAAUAAGUCUCUGGUGAAAUCCUGUAGCUUAACUGUGGGAAUUGCUGGAGAUACUAUUAGACUUGAGACCGGGAGAGGUUAGAGGUACUCCCAGGGUAGAGGUGAAAUUCUGUAAUCCUGGGAGGACCGCCUGUUGCGAAGGCGUCUAACUGGAACGGUUCUGACGGUGAGGGACGAAAGUUAGGGGCGCGAACCGGAUUAGAUACCCGGGUAGUCCUAACUGUAAACGAUGCGGACUUGGUGUUGGGGUGGCUUUGAGCUGCUCAGUGCGAAGGAGCUGUUAAGUCCGCCGCCUGGGAAGUACGGUCGCAAGACUGAAACUUAAAGGAAUU
rnacentral:rRNA from 1 species